ensembl:snRNA U6 U6 spliceosomal RNA
GUACUAACUUCAGCAGCACAUAUACUAAACUUAGAAGAACACAGAAAGGAUUUGCAUGAUCCCUGCACAGGAACAGCACACAAAUGUGUAAGUUUUCAUUAAUAUUA